rnacentral:sRNA from 1 species
UUUUCUUUUGCUUUUAAAAACUCUCUUUCUAUCCUUG